UACCAGACUCCUACGGGAGGCAGCAGUGAGGAAUAUUGGUCAAUGGGAGAGAUCCUGAACCAGCCAAGCCGCGUGAGGGAAGACGGCCCUAUGGGUUGUAAACCUCUUUUGUCGGAGAACAAAACCCGGGACGUGUCCCGGACUGCGUGUGUCCGAAGAAAAAGCAUCGGCUAACUCCGUGCCAGCAGCCGCGGUAAUACGGAGGAUGCGAGCGUUAUCCGGAUUUAUUGGGUUUAAAGGGUGCGUAGGCGGUCCGUUAAGUCAGCGGUAAAAUUGCGGGGCUCAACCCCGCCCAGCCGUCGGAACUGCCGGGCUAGAGUGGGCGAGAAGUGCGCGGAAUGCGUGGUGUAGCGGUGAAAUGCAUAGAUAUCACGCAGAACUCCGAUUGCGAAGGCAGCGCACCGGCGCCCUACUGACGCUCAGGCACGAAAGCGUGGGUAUCGAACAGGAUUAGAUACCCUCGUAGA
rnacentral:rRNA from 1 species